AGAAAACGACAUUAGUACAAUUGUAAGUCCAAUGAUAAUAUAAAUUUGAGAUAUGAGAGAUGAUUUGUUGAAAUAUUGAUCUAUGGUAAAGAUUUAAGUUUUAGAAUAGUUAAUUGGAUAUUUUGUGACUUGUCUAGAAUGAGAGUGAGCUAAUAGAAGGUUUGGAGUGGAAUGAUGGUCAUUAUGGGAGAGUUACCAUGUUGUUUAAAUAGUAUCUUAGGG
rnacentral:lncRNA from 1 species